rnacentral:rRNA from 1 species
UACGGAGGGUGCGAGCGUUGUCCGGAAUCACUGGGCGUAAAGGGCGCGUAGGCGGCAUGCCAAGCGUGUGGUGAAAGCCCGGGGCUCAACCCCGGGUCGGCCGUGCGGACUGGCGUGCUCGAGCACUGUAGGGGCGGGUGGAAUUCCGGGUGGUAGCGGUGGAAUGCGUAGAGAUCCGGAAGAACACCGGUGGCGAAGGCGGCCCGCUGGGCAGGAAGGCUCGCAAGAGCCGGCUGACGCUGAGGCGCGACAGCGUGGGGAGCAA